AGUGGAAAUUAUAUCCUAUACCCGGUGUAUGAGCUUAAUAGUACAUCAGGCCAAUAAUAUACCACCAUAUGGAUAUAUUGGCCACCUUAGCAUGGGAAAAAAAAGCAAAGAAGUUGCUUCUCCUCCAUUGAAACACUACCUUGCCCUUGCUGCAUGCCCUCCAUCAAGCCCAGAACCUUGGCACCAAGCCCUUAGCUGUCAUUCCUUGGCAUCCACC
rnacentral:lncRNA from 1 species